GCCAGGAGUGGUGGCACGCUCCUAUAGUCCCUACUGCUUGGGAAGCUGAGGUGGGAAGAUUGCUUAAGCUGAGAAGUUCUGGGUUAUGAUGAUUAGGUGUCUGCACUAAGCUUAGCGUCAAUAUGGUGAUCUCUUGGGAGUGGGGGACCACCAGGUUAUCUAAGAAGAGGUGAACCAGCCCAGGUCAGAAACCAAGUCUUGCUCUGUUGCCAGGCGCCAGGCUGGAGACCAGCUACUCAGCAGGCUGAGGCAGGAGAAUUGCUUAA
rnacentral:sRNA from 1 species